CCUACGGGUGGCAGCAGUGGGGAAUAUUGGACAAUGGGCGAAAGCCUGAUCCAGCCAUGCCGCGUGUGUGAAGAAGGCCUUCGGGUUGUAAAGCACUUUCAGUGGGGAAGAAAGCCUUGGGGCUAAUACCCUCGAGGAAGGACAUCACCCACAGAAGAAGCACCGGCUAACUCCGUGCCAGCAGCCGCGGUAAUACGGAGGGUGCGAGCGUUAAUCGGAAUUACUGGGCGUAAAGCGCGCGUAGGCGGUCUGAUAAGCCGGUUGUGAAAGCCCCGGGCUCAACCUGGGAACGGCAUCCGGAACUGUCAGGCUAGAGUGCAGGAGAGGAAGGCAGAAUUCCCGGUGUAGCGGUGAAAUGCGUAGAGAUCGGGAGGAAUACCAGUGGCGAAGGCGGCCUUCUGGACUGACACUGACGCUGAGGUGCGAAAGCGUGGGUAGCAAACAGGAUUAGAUACCCCAGUAGUC
rnacentral:rRNA from 1 species